rnacentral:lncRNA from 1 species
UCUGUGGCGGAGCUGUCAAGCUGACAUGUUACUUAAACUAUAACAGUGUUAAAAUAAAGUAUUUCUGGCUUACGUAGCCGUAACUAAAAUUGCAAGAAGUUGACAGG